rnacentral:rRNA from 1 species
AUGGCAGACGAUCCUAAUCAAAACUUCGGGCCGUUUUCGCAGCCAUUCUGCAGCCAGAAUGUGGUUUCAUUUCAGACGUGCGCGACGCCCAGCGGGUCGGGAGGCAGCAUGCCGGUGUACCUAGACUGCUCCAGCAGCAUGGGGUCUAACAUGGGGAUGAUGAACACCACGCCUUCAGUAGCUGUCUCCACAAGUUCAUCCAACAUGGUUGCUGAAUCUGCGCAGAACCUCAAAUAUGGAGGACCCCUAGCUGAAAGCUGGUCGCAUCUCGAGAUCCAAGUGCUGAAAGAUUGCCUAGAUAGAUAUGUGAAUGAACAUGGUAUCAUGAAGUACAUAAAGAUAGCCGCUUCCCUACCAACCAAGACGGUGAGGGAUGUCGCGAUGAGAUGCCAAUGGAUGGGGAACAAACAAACUACAAGACGGCGGAGGCCUGCAGAACAUCAUAGCAGAAAAAUGAAAGAUAGAAAGGAUAAAAUGGUGGGGCCUUCAUCCUGGGGUACCACUCAUCCUGUUCAGACAGAUACAGGAGUCUCUUCCUUUGUGCCGCAUCAUGCCAUUCAAAACAGUCAAUAUCUAUCUGGAGCCUCUGAGAUGGAUCGUAUAGUACAGCUUGUACUGGAAGAAAAUAAUCGGCUUCUUGCUCAGAUAGACACAAAUAUUCAAACAUUUCAGGCUCAAAAUAACAACGAUCUCUUCAAUCGCGUGAGAAGGAACAUUGAUGGCCUUUUGAAAAUCAUGAGCCAAAUGCCGGGAAAAAUGAGUCAGAUGCCUCAGUUGGGAGUUGCGGUGAAUGAAAACCUUGCCAGUUACUUGCUCCCAGAUCUUACAAUGGCACAAGUUCUUGGAAAUAGCCAUUUGAAGGAGGAGCCAAGAGGAUGGUGA